UACGUAGGGGGCAAGCGUUAUCCGGAAUUAUUGGGCGUAAAGAGUGCGUAGGUGGUUUUAUAAGCGCGAGGUGAAAGGCAAUGGCUCAACUAUUGUAAGCCUUGCGAACUGUAAGACUUGAGUGCAGGAGAGGAAAGUGGAAUUCCUAGUGUAGCGGUGAAAUGCGUAGAUAUUAGGAGGAACACCAGUGGCGAAGGCGACUUUCUGGACUGUAACUGACACUGAGGCACGAAAGCGUGGGGAGCAAACAGG
rnacentral:rRNA from 1 species